rnacentral:rRNA from 1 species
UACGGAGGGUGCGAGCGUUGUCCGGAAUCAUUGGGCGUAAAGGGCGCGUAGGUGGCCCCUCAAGCGUGCGGUGAAAGUCAGGGGCUCAACCCCUGAUCGGCCGUGCGAACUGGGGAGCUUGAGCACUGUAGAGGCAGGCGGAAUUCCGGGUGUAGCGGUGGAAUGCGUAGAGAUCCGGAAGAACACCGGUGGCGAAGGCAGUUCUCUGGGCCGUAACUGACGCUGAGGAGCGAAAGCGUGGGGAGCGAACAGG